GUUUUACUUCCUCCGUUCGGAAUUACUUGUCGCAGAAAUGGAUGUAUCUAGACAUAUUUUAGUUCUAGAUACAUCCAUUUUCGAGACAAGUAAUUCCGAACGGAGGGAGUAGUAG
rnacentral:pre_miRNA from 1 species